rnacentral:rRNA from 1 species
GACGUAGGGCGCGAGCGUUGUCCGGAUUUAUUGGGCGUAAAGAGCUCGUAGGCGGUGUGUCGCGUCGGCCGUGAAAACCUGCAGCUUAGCUGUGGGCUUGCGGUCGAUACGGGCAUCACUGGAGUUCGGCAGGGGAGACUGGAAUUCCUGGUGUAGCGGUGAAAUGCGCAGAUAUCAGGAGGAACACCGGUGGCGAAGGCGGGUCUCUGGGCCGAUACUGACGCUGAGGAGCGAAAGCGUGGGGAGCGAACAGG